rnacentral:rRNA from 1 species
UACAGGGGUCUCAAGCGUUGUUCGGAUUCAUUGGGCGUAAAGGGUGCGUAGGUGGCGGGGCAAGUCAGGUGUGAAAUCUCGGGGCUCAACCCCGAAACUGCACUUGAUACUGCUUUGCUCGAGUACUGGAGAGGAGACUGGAAUUUACGGUGUAGCAGUGAAAUGCGUAGAUAUCGUAAGGAAGACCAGUGGCGAAGGCGAGUCUCUGGACAGUUACUGACACUGAGGCACGAAGGCCAGGGGAGCAAACGGG